CACCAUCUCUUUGAGAUUUGGUUUGCUUUUACUUGCCAUCCCCAGUUUUGAUUCAGGUUUCUACUUUGUAUUUCGAUUGUUCUAAUAUAUUAUAUAUAUAUAAUUAUAUAAUAUGAGGAUAAUAAUAUUAUAUAUAUAUAUAUAUAUAAUUUAUAAUGGCAGGGUAUGCUAUUUUUCAUACACCGGCCCGCACGCGGCCGUUACAAGACGAACUGCAUUGGCGCACGCCGAAACCCUCUCUCUCCCCUCUCUCCCCUCUCUCGUCUUCUCACCUCCGAAGAUGCCCAUAGUCAUGAUCUGCAAAUCUCAAUGAUCCCCGCUGCCGCAGCAGCCGCCUUCCGCUCCUUCCGCAAGCUGCCGCCAUGGAAACCGACAUCCAACUUACCGCAUAGGAGAACGAGAAACCUCGAUCUGUGUUCCCUCUUGCGACUUCCGGAAGCCAAAUGUGGCUCCGGGUGAUUCGGCUACCUCCGCUUCCACCGGACUCCCUGUACUCACUCCGAUAUGGUUCGCAUGUCAGGUCACAAUUAGCUUCAAGUUUAUGCACGUUCAAUUUGCAAAAGUGAAUUGCGUACAAGUAUAAUGGUAGAAGUGGAAGUUUAAAAUCCAUAACAGGAGCAAUAAGCUCAAAUUUCUACCAGGUGAAAAAAUUAUACUUGGUCUAUUGACAUCAGAAGAUGCUUAAUCAGGCUUGAAAUAAAGAACUGCAUUCAAUCAGGCUUGUGAUGGUGAACUACUUUCUGGACCUCUAAUGCAUGCUUGAAGUGAUCAUGCUUAUCGUUCAUCGGCUCAUUUCUCUUUUGAUUAGUUGUGAUUGAUUUAUCUGAGUUGAUCAUCUCUAUGCCAGUCAACAUUGAAACGAAAAUUAUUAAAAAAUUGAGUCAGACAUAAUUGUCUUGAGUUGUCUUUUUUUUUUUAAUAUUAAUUCUAUCGUGUUUCUUCCCAUGGACUGGAUGGUUUGGCUCAAAAAAUACAGUUUUCAGUUAUAAUUA